GAGGGCUGGAGAGAUGGCCCAGA
rnacentral:piRNA from 1 species